CAGUCGAGCGAUGGAUAAGAGCUUUGCUCUUAUGAAGUUAGCGGCGGACGGGUGAGUAACACGUGGGUAACCUGCCCAUAAGACUGGGAUAACUCCGGGAAACCGGGGCUAAUACCGGAUAACAUUUUGAACCGCAUGGUUCGAAAUUGAAAGGCGGCUUCGGCUGUCACUUAUGGAUGGACCCGCGUCGCAUUAGCUAGUUGGUGAGGUAACGGCUCACCAAGGCAACGAUGCGUAGCCGACCUGAGAGGGUGAUCGGCCACACUGGGACUGAGACACGGCCCAGACUCCUACGGGAGGCAGCAGUAGGGAAUCUUCCGCAAUGGACGAAAGUCUGACGGAGCAACGCCGCGUGAGUGAUGAAGGCUUUCGGGUCGUAAAACUCUGUUGUUAGGGAAGAACAAGUGCUAGUUGAAUAAGCUGGCACCUUGACGGUACCUAACCAGAAAGCCACGGCUAACUACGUGCCAGCAGCCGCGGUAAUACGUAGGUGGCAAGCGUUAUCCGGAAUUAUUGGGCGUAAAGCGCGCGCAGGUGGUUUCUUAAGUCUGAUGUG
rnacentral:rRNA from 1 species